rnacentral:rRNA from 1 species
UACGUAGGGGGCAAGCGUUGUCCGGAUUUAUUGGGCGUAAAGAGCUCGUAGGUGGUUCGGUAAGUCGGAUGUGAAAUCUCCAGGCUCAACCUGGAGGGGUCAUUCGAUACUGCCGUGACUAGAGGUCGGUAGGGGAGUGUGGAAUUCCUGGUGGAGCGGUGAAAUGCGUAGAUAUCAUGAGGAAUACCAGAGGCGAAGGCGGCUACCUGGACAAUUGCUGACGCUCAGGCACGAAAGCGUGGGGAGCAAAAGGG